rnacentral:rRNA from 1 species
UACGGAGGAUGCGAGCGUUAUCCGGAUUUAUUGGGUUUAAAGGGUGCGCAGGCGGAUUUUUAAGUCAGCGGUCAAAUCGUGGGGCUCAACCCCAUCCAGCCGUUGAAACUGGGGAUCUAGAGUGUGCGAGAGGUAUGCGGAAUGCGUGGUGUAGCGGUGAAAUGCAUAGAUAUCACACAGAACACCGAUUGCGAAGGCAUCUCACGAAUCCGCUAUUGACGCUGAUGCACGAAAGCGUGGGUAUCAAACAGG